AACAGUUACAGCCCAUCAGUGUCUGACAAUCUUCAAUUUGAUGAUGUUAAUUCUGUGACAAGUCAACAAUCAAAUGAUUACCGACCAACUACACCUAGAAACAGUCCGGCAUUGUCUGAUCACCCAAAUUUCUCCGGUGAGAAACACACACAUACAGAAACACACACACACACACACACUCCACCCAUAGCCCCCACCCCUGGGGGCCCAUGGCUCCUGUUCUUCAAUAGUCCCACACAC